rnacentral:misc_RNA from 1 species
GAUGAAGAACGCAGCGAAUUGCGAUAAGUAAUGUGAAUUGCAGAUUUUCAGUGAAUCAUCGAAUCUUUGAACGCACAUUGCGCCCCCUGGUAUUCCGGGGGGCAUGCCUGUUCGAGCGUCAUUUCACCACUCAAGCCUCGCUUGGUAUUGGGCAACGCGGUCCGCCGCGUGCCUCAAAUCGACCGGCUGGGUCUUCUGUCCCCUAAGCGUUGUGGAAACUAUUCGCUAAAGGGUGUUCGGGAGGCUACGCCGUAAAACAACCCCAUUUCUAAGGUUGACCUCGGAUCAGGUAGGGAUACCCGCUGAACUUAAGCAUAUCAAUAAGCGGAGGA